UACGGGGGGGGCAAGCGUUGUUCGGAAUUACUGGGCGUAAAGGGUGCGUAGGCGGUGCUCUAAGUCGGAUGUGAAAACUCUGGGCUCAACCCAGAGCCUGCAUCCGAAACUGGAGUGCUAGAGUUCUGGAGGGGGUAGCGGAAUUCCUGGUGUAGCGGUGAAAUGCGUAGAUAUCAGGAGGAACACCAGUGGCGAAGGCGGCUACCUGGACAGAAACUGACGCUGAGGCACGAAAGCUAGGGGAGCAAACAGG
rnacentral:rRNA from 1 species